rnacentral:rRNA from 1 species
AGGUCUUCGNUUGGUGACCAGCGGAGGGAUCAUUA